UCCUACGGGGGGCAGCAGUGGGGAAUAUUGGACAAUGGGCGAAAGCCUGAUCCAGCAAUGCCGCGUGAGUGAUGAAGGCCCUAGGGUUGUAAAGCUCUUUUACCCGGGAAGAUAAUGACUGUACCGGGAGAAUAAGCCCCGGCUAACUCCGUGCCAGCAGCCGCGGUAAUACGGAGGGGGCUAGCGUUGUUCGGAAUUACUGGGCGUAAAGCGCACGUAGGCGGCUUUGUAAGUUAGAGGUGAAAGCCCGGGGCUCAACCCCGGAAUAGCCUUUAAGACUGCAUCGCUUGAACACGGGAGAGGUGAGUGGAAUUCCGAGUGUAGAGGUGAAAUUCGUAGAUAUUCGGAAGAACACCAGUGGCGAAGGCGGCUCACUGGACCGUUGUUGACGCUGAGGUGCGAAAGCGUGGGGAGCAAACAGGAUUAGAUACCCCAGUAGUCCCU
rnacentral:rRNA from 1 species